CACUUGACUGGAGGUUUGGAACUCAGAGUCUCACAUCACGAGCCUCCUGCCCAGAGAUGCCACUCGCUCCAUCCUCUUCUCCGCAUCUUCUUCAAUUCCCUGUCUCCUCACCUGCUCACCGCCUCCUCCUCUUCUCUGACCUCACCUGCGCCACAUUCUUUCGCUCCUCAUGGCCACCGCCAUUUCCGAUCUCCUUGAAGAAGGCCAAUUCCUUCGUGUUUCCGAUCUCCGUCCGGAGGGAGAAAUGCUUCUCCAAAUCAACCGAGGAGGAUCUCCUGAGCGAUUCGGAAACCCAAACAGGCGGAAACGACGACCGCCCGGCCUCUGUGGCUACCACUGGUGGUUCGCAGAGGAUCGCGGCGUCGUCCACUGAUUCUCUCUCUCUUGGAAUUCGUGAGCCGGUCUAUGAGGUGGUAGAGGUGAAGUCGGAUGGGAAGGUGUCGACUAGGAAAAUCAACCGAAGACAGUUGUUGAAGUCAAGCGGACUUCGUCCUAGAGAUAUACGGAGCGUGGAUCCAUCACUGUGGUUGACAAACUCAAUGCCUUCUUUGGUGGUCCGCGAGAAUGCUAUACUAUUAAAUUUGGGAUCAUUGCGAGCAAUAGCAAUGCAAGAGAGUGUCUUUAUAUUUGACUAUAAUCGUAAAGGAGGAAAAGCUUUCAUGGAUUCAUUGUUGCCUCGCUUGAACCCUAAAAACAUGAAUGGUGGACCAUCAAUGCCAUUUGAGCUUGAGGUCGUUGAAGCAGCCUUGCUUUCAAGGAUACAGCGUUUGGAGCAGAAACUGAUGGAUCUAGAACCUCGUGUCCAAGCUCUGCUUGAGGUUUUACCAAACCGAUUAACUGCUGACAUAUUGGAGCAACUUCGCCUUAGCAAGCAAACUUUGGUUGAAUUAGGUUCAAGGGCUGGAGCUCUCAAACAAAUGUUGCUUGAUCUUCUAGAGGACCCCCAUGAAAUACGCCGUAUGUGUAUCAUGGGAAAAAACUGCACACUUGUGAAAGGGAAGGAAAACAUGGAAUGCUCUGUUCCUCUAGAAAAACAGAUUGCUGAAGAAGAGGAGGAAGAAAUUGAAAUGCUUUUGGAAAACUAUCUUCAAAGAUGUGAAUCUUGUCAUGGUCAGGCUGAAAGGCUUCUUGAUUCUGCCAGAGAAAUGGAAGAUUCAAUUGCUGUUAAUUUAAGCUCUCGGAGGCUUGAGGUAAGCAGAGUGGAAUUGCUUCUUCAGGUAGGGACAUUUUGUAUAGCAGUUGGCGCACUGGUUGCAGGUAUAUUUGGCAUGAACUUGAAGUCCUAUCUCGAAGAACAUGCGUUUGCCUUUUGGCUAACAACAGCUGGGAUAAUUGUUGGUGCUGUUGUGGCAUUUUUUCUUAUGUACUCGUAUCUUAGGGCAAGGAAGAUAUUAUAAAUUUCAAAGAUUCAAGUGCAGGCAAGUUCUAUUGCCUUUGUACAAGUAUUGCUACCACAUAGAUUUGAGUUCAUGAUAAGAAGCUCUAGAGAUCUCCAAAGAUAAAGCACAAAUCCUGAAAGUUGAACAGAUAUAAUAUCAAACAUUCAGCUCCCACUCAACCAGAUGACUGACAAGGUACCUGGAAAUGUUUUACCAGUAUGAUUUUGGUUGCUGUUGGUAGCCUACUAUUUGUACUAAAAAAACUCCAUGCUUUAAGAUUGUAUUGGAAGCUAUCAGCAUCCAUCAAAACCACCAGGUAGGUGUUCCAUUACUGGUUGCAGUUUGAAUGCUUUUACUGUUGCAGAGACCAAGCAGGCCCUGCAAAUUCUCUCAAUCAUGCCUCCCCGCUUGGAGUGUAUAUCCCUGAAGGGAGGGCAGUGAAUAAGCACUCUGAGAGUGACGCAAUUAUUUUGUAAACAAAUAUGAUUUUGAAUUGAGAUGGGGACGGGCAUAUUCUAGUAUGUGUAACGAAUUCCACAUCAUCCAAACAGAAUUGCCUUUUGAGAUUGUCCCCGUUUAGUAAUAUUUGGUAAUUUAUUCUUUCUUUUUUUUAA